rnacentral:sRNA from 1 species
GGAAGUCAGGGAGAAAGAAGACUUCAUCUUCACUUGCAAUUCCAGGAUAGAAAAAGGUCUGCCACUCAAUAAGGAAAUUGAGAAAGAAUGGUUGAAAGUCCUUCGAGAUGAAGAAAUGCAUGCCUUGGCCAUCGCUGAAAAGUCUUGGGAGUUCUUGGAAGCAGAUAAUCGCCAGCUGCCCAAUGGUGUUUACACAACUGCAGAGCAGCGUCCGAAUGCCUACAUCCCAGAGGCAGAUGGCACUCUUCCUUUGCCAAAACCUUAUGGUGCUUUGGCUCCUUUUAAACCUAGUGAACCUGGAGCCAAUAUGAGGCACAUAAGGAAACCUGUUAUAAAGCCAAUUGAAAUCUGAAUAUGUGAACAAAUCCAGGCCUCUCAAGGAAAGGACUUCAACCAGGCUUCCUUGUACCCACAGGUGAAAAAUGAGUGAGAACACGUCAGGAGUGGAAGGUAAAGGUUUUAUUGGUGACUUUUCACAUCAAGGAUAUAAUGCAAUACAGUUAAGAGCAUCAGAGAGAAGAAAUAUACUUUCCAGGUAAUCAGAACACCUAGAUUUUUUU